ACGGAGCGGCGGACGGGUGAGUAACGCGUGGGUAACCUGCCUCAUACAGGGGGAUAACAGUUAGAAAUGACUGCUAAUACCGCAUAAGACCACGGUACCGCAUGGUACAGUGGUAAAAACUCCGGUGGUAUGAGAUGGACCCGCGUCUGAUUAGGUAGUUGGUGGGGUAACGGCCUACCAAGCCGACGAUCAGUAGCCGACCUGAGAGGGUGACCGGCCACAUUGGGACUGAGACACGGCCCAG
rnacentral:rRNA from 1 species